rnacentral:lncRNA from 1 species
AUUAGAUUGCAACUGGUAGAGCACGGAGUUAUCUUCAGGUGCUUUAUGAAACUGCGACACAGCUUCAGCAGGGACCCACCAGACGUGAACUCAGCCAGACGGUCUGAAAGCCACAGGCUAAAAGAAGAUGAUCAUCAAGAGAAACAAGCAAAGAGAAAAGAUCUGUGACUUCUGUCAAGGAACUCUGAGCCUGCUGCAAGUUUUCACAUACCCCAGAGAAAGAUCCCAGCACCUGCCUGCCCUGAAAACCUGAGAGGCAUGAGAUUUGAACGAGCUGUUGUCUGUACAGAUGGAGCCUCAGCUGAGGGACUGCUGCUCCUCUUCACCAUGCUGAACCUCACUGUUGGUGGAUUGUGUGGAUGGGCAAGAGAAUGGAAAACGUGGCCCACAGCAGCUUCAACACGUGGCACGGAGAUUGCAGCUCCGAGGAGGCCGUUUCACCUGCUCUCUCCUCCUCGCUCAUUCCCGGCGGUGGCUCCGCUUAAAGCUUGGACUCGUGGCUCCAAUCAAGCGAGCGCCCAAAUUCCUAGAGGUACCAUUUUGCAGCAAUGUGAGCCUAAUUGUUUCUAGAUUGAAUAUUUUCAUGGGAUAUCAGUCUCAGUGUUUCUGGAAUUAGCAUGCUCACUGAAGGAUUGAAGAUGCUUAUCGGGCCCGACAGCUUUAGUGUCAGCGGGAUCAUCGACAGCUCUGCGAAACUUAACUGGGCUGGCGACAAUAUUUAUUUAUGCGGAAUGGAGACAUAUGGCCAGAAUCAUCCGCUCCCUUUCCUCAGUAAUUAAAACAUCUGGGAGCACAAAAGGGCUGUAAGAAGAAGAAAAAAAAACCCUCUCUGCUAAAUAAAACAGGAGCGCGGUGCCUUUACA